GACGAACGCUGGCGGCGUGCUUAACACAUGCAAGUCGAGCGGUAAGGCCCUUUCGGGGGUACACGAGCGGCGAACGGGUGAGUAACACGUGGGUGACCUGCCCUCAGCUCUGGGAUAAGCCUGGGAAACCGGGUCUAAUACUGGAUAUGACUCCAUGACGCAUGUUGGUGGGGUGGAAAGCCUUGUGCGGCUGGAGGAUGGGCCCGCGGCCUAUCAGCUUGUUGGUGGGGUGANGGCCUACCAAGGCGACGACGGGUAGCCGGCCUGAGAGGACGACCGGCCACACUGGGACUGAGAC
rnacentral:rRNA from 1 species